rnacentral:rRNA from 1 species
UACGUAGGGUGCGAGCGUUGUCCGGAUUUAUUGGGCGUAAAGAGCUCGUAGGCGGCUUGUCGCGUCGACCGUGAAAACUUGGGGCUCAACCCCAAGCCUGCGGUCGAUACGGGCAGGCUAGAGUUCGGUAGGGGAGACUGGAAUUCCUGGUGUAGCGGUGAAAUGCGCAGAUAUCAGGAGGAACACCGGUGGCGAAGGCGGGUCUCUGGGCAGUAACUGACGCUGAGGAGCGAAAGCGUGGGGAGCGAACAGG